CAAAUAAUGUAACAAAUCUAAGGGUAUGUUUGGUUCACACAUAGGAAUUGGAAUCAGAAUAGAAAUCAAAUACUUAGUAAGGGUAAUGAGUUUUGGU